rnacentral:rRNA from 1 species
AAGGUUAAGCCUCACGGUUCAUUAGUACCGGUUAGCUCAACGCAUCGCUGCGCUUACACACCCGGCCUAUCAACGUCGUCGUCUUCAACGUUCCUUCAGGACCCUUAAAGGGUCAGGGAGAACUCAUCUCGGGGCAAGUUUCGUGCUUAGAUGCUUUCAGCACUUAUCUCUUCCGCAUUUAGCUACCGGGCAGUGCCAUUGGCAUGACAACCCGAACACCAGUGAUGCGUCCACUCCGGUCCUCUCGUACUAGGAGCAGCCCCCCUCAGUUCUCCAGCGCCCACGGCAGAUAGGGACCGAACUGUCUCACGACGUUCUAAACCCAGCUCGCGUACCACUUUAAAUGGCGAACAGCCAUACCCUUGGGACCUACUUCAGCCCCAGGAUGUGAUGAGCCGACAUCGAGGUGCCAAACACCGCCGUCGAUAUGAACUCUUGGGCGGUAUCAGCCUGUUAUCCCCGGAGUACCUUUUAUCCGUUGAGCGAUGGCCCUUCCAUUCAGAACCACCGGAUCACUAUGACCUGCUUUCGCACCUGCUCGCGCCGUCACGCUCGCAGUCAAGCUGGCUUAUGCCAUUGCACUAACCUCCUGAUGUCCGACCAGGAUUAGCCAACCUUCGUGCUCCUCCGUUACUCUUUAGGAGGAGACCGCCCCAGUCAAACUACCCACCAGACACUGUCCGCAACCCGGAUUACGGGUCCACGUUAGAACAUCAAACAUUAAAGGGUGGUAUUUCAAGGUCGGCUCCAUGCAGACUGGCGUCCACACUUCAAAGCCUCCCACCUAUCCUACACAUCAAGGCUCAAUGUUCAGUGUCAAGCUAUAGUAAAGGUUCACGGGGUCUUUCCGUCUUGCCGCGGGUACACUGCAUCUUCACAGCGAGUUCAAUUUCACUGAGUCUCGGGUGGAGACAGCCUGGCCAUCAUUACGCCAUUCGUGCAGGUCGGAACUUACCCGACAAGGAAUUUCGCUACCUUAGGACCGUUAUAGUUACGGCCGCCGUUUACCGGGGCUUCGAUCAAGAGCUUCGCUUGCGCUAACCCCAUCAAUUAACCUUCCGGCACCGGGCAGGCGUCACACCGUAUACGUCCACUUUCGUGUUUGCACAGUGCUGUGUUUUUAAUAAACAGUUGCAGCCAGCUGGUAUCUUCGACUGAUUUCAGCUCCACGAGCAAGUCGCUUCACCUACGUAUCAGCGUGCCUUCUCCCGAAGUUACGGCACCAUUUUGCCUAGUUCCUUCACCCGAGUUCUCUCAAGCGCCUUGGUAUUCUCUACCUGACCACCUGUGUCGGUUUGGGGUACGAUUUGAUGUUACCUGAUGCUUAGAGGCUUUUCCUGGAAGCAGGGCAUUUGUUGCUUCAGCACCGUAGUGCCUCGUCAUCACGCCUCGGCCUUGAUUUUCCGGAUUUGCCUGGAAAACCAGCCUACACGCUUAAACCGGGACAACCGUCGCCCGGCCAACAUAGCCUUCUCCGUCCCCCCUUCGCAGUAACACCAAGUACAGGAAUAUUAACCUGUUUCCCAUCGACUACGCCUUUCGGCCUCGCCUUAGGGGUCGACUCACCCUGCCCCGAUUAACGUUGGACAGGAACCCUUGGUCUUCCGGCGAGCGGGCUUUUCACCCGCUUUAUCGUUACUUAUGUCAGCAUUCGCACUUCUGAUACCUCCAGCAUACCUCACAGUACACCUUCACAGGCUUACAGAACGCUCCCCUACCCAACAACGCAUAAGCGUCGCUGCCGCAGCUUCGGUGCAUGGUUUAGCCCCGUUACAUCUUCCGCGCAGGCCGACUCGACCAGUGAGCUAUUACGCUUUCUUUAAAUGAUGGCUGCUUCUAAGCCAACAUCCUGGCUGUCUGGGCCUUCCCACAUCGUUUCCCACUUAACCAUGACUUUGGGACCUUAGCUGGCGGUCUGGGUUGUUUCCCUCUUCACGACGGACGUUAGCACCCGCCGUGUGUCUCCCGUGAUAACAUUCUCCGGUAUUCGCAGUUUGCAUCGGGUUGGUAAGUCGGGAUGACCCCCUUGCCGAAACAGUGCUCUACCCCCGGAGAUGAAUUCACGAGGCGCUACCUAAAUAGCUUUCGGGGAGAACCAGCUAUCUCCCGGUUUGAUUGGCCUUUCACCCCCAGCCACAAGUCAUCCGCUAAUUUUUCAACAUUAGUCGGUUCGGUCCUCCAGUUAGUGUUACCCAACCUUCAACCUGCCCAUGGCUAGAUCACCGGGUUUCGGGUCUAUACCCUGCAACUUAACGCCCAGUUAAGACUCGGUUUCCCUUCGGCUCCCCUAUUCGGUUAACCUUGCUACAGAAUAUAAGUCGCUGACCCAUUAUACAAAAGGUACGCAGUCACACGCCUAAGCGUGCUCCCACUGCUUGUACGUACACGGUUUCAGGUUCUUUUUCACUCCCCUCGCCGGGGUUCUUUUCGCCUUUCCCUCACGGUACUGGUUCACUAUCGGUCAGUCAGGAGUAUUUAGCCUUGGAGGAUGGUCCCCCCAUAUUCAGACAGGAUACCACGUGUCCCGCCCUACUCAUCGAGCUCACAGUAUGUGCAUUUUUGUGUACGGGGCUGUCACCCUGUAUCGCACGCCUUCCAGACGCUUCCACUAACACACACACUGAUUCAGGCUCUGGGCUGCUCCCCGUUCGCUCGCCGCUACUGGGGGAAUCUCGGUUGAUUUCUUUUCCUCGGGGUACUUAGAUGUUUCAGUUCCCCCGGUUCGCCUCAUUAACCUAUGGAUUCAGUUAAUGAUAGUGUGACGAAUCACACUGGGUUUCCCCAUUCGGAAAUCGCCGGUUAUAACGGUUCAUAUCACCUUACCGACGCUUAUCGCAGAUUAGCACGUCCUUCAUCGCCUCUGACUGCCAGGGCAUCCACCGUGUACGCUUAGUCGCUUAA